rnacentral:rRNA from 1 species
AUUGAACGCUGGCGGCAGGCCUAACACAUGCAAGUCGAACGGUAACAGGAAGCAGCUUGCUGCUUUUCUGACGAGUGGCGGACGGGUGAGUCAUGUCUGGGCAACUGCCUGAUGGAGGGGGAUAACUACUGGAAACGGUAGCUACUACCGCUUACCGUCGCAAGAACAAAGAGGGGGACCUUCGGGCCUCUUGCCAUCGGAUGUGCCCAGAUGGGAUUAGCUAGUAGGUGGGGUAACGGCUCACCUAGGCGACGAUCCCUAGCUGGUCUGAGAGGAUGACCAGCCACACUGGAACUGAGACACGGUCCAGACUCCUACGGGAGGCAGCAGUGGGGAAUAGUGCAGAAUGGGCGCAAGCCUGAUGCAGCCAUGCCGCGUGUAUGAAGAAGGCCUUCGGGUUGUAAAGUACUUUCAGCGGGGAGGAAGGGAGUAAAGUUAAUACCUUUGCUCAUUGACGUUACCCGCAGAAGAAGCACCGGCUAACUCCGUG